AGAUAAGUGGCACUACGCCAGGAACGGAACAUAGCGGCAAAGAAUUGGCGGCGUUUCACCUUGCCACCGCAAAGCAGUGGUGCAAAUGAAGGCUCUCUAUGUGUUCCGCUACAACAAUGGCGAUUGCCUAGUUAAACGCCGCUAGAACCCCGCGAAGAGUCCUUGGAAGCGCGUGAACACUGCCAUCCCUGAUCCACUGCGCCACUGCUGCCGAUCCUGGGUCCUCUGGCCGUCGUCAAGCAUUUGGGGCAGCCACAUUUCCGGAAACCCAUACUCCCUUGUCCAAGGUGUGCAAAAUCCCUAGGAUCUGCAACACCCUGCACCUUUGUCUGGGUUGUAGAGUCGCGCAGCUUCCAUACACGCUUCUCCUACCGGCGUCGAAGUCUCCCAUCUCCUUGGUCAUGCACGAAACUAUUGAGCCACCCUCCACCGUUCGCCAUCUUGAGCUAUCGCUGCCUCUCUUUGUCCCUGAAAAUUUAGUUUAUUUGCAGCAGAGAAGCUUCUAGAGCACACUCCAAACAAGGCGCUCUUUAUCUUCUAGGAUGGCUAGAAAAGGUCGUUUCACAAAAAAACCGAAAGUAGGACCAGGAUGUCAGCAACCAAAUAUGGCUCCGCCUCCGGCCUCUGCUACCCACCGCGAUGACUCUGAAAUUCUCCUGGAUAGUGAUAGUGUCCCUCCAAUUUCACGCCCGUUCCUUCCGCCGCGCAGUGUACCAAGGCCUGCUCCAUAAACGAGCACAACUACCAUUAAGAACUCGGAGCCAAGCCAUGUAAACUCGGCAGAUAAUGCUAAUGAUGUGGAUUCUGUUGAUCAAGAUGCUGAUGGCUCGUUUGUUGAUUCUAAAGCUCUGAAUCGCAAAGGACGCAAGACUAUAGAGUUUUGGAAAGUCAGGAUAAUCAAAAAUUUAGCCAAUAAUUUUUAUGUGUUCAACAUGAUUUAGACACAUGUUAAGUAUUCUUAAAUAAAAUAUUAGGAUUGGAGAUAUUUUGCAUUGAAGAAAAUAUUUUAUUGAAUUAGACUGAGCAACUCUUUGAAAGAUAU